UACGUAGGGAGCAAGCGUUGUCCGGAAUCAUUGGGCGUAAAGCGCGCGUAGGUGGCCUCAUAAGUCCGUUGUGAAAGUCAAAGGCUCAACCUUUGAAAGCCGAUGGAUACUGUGAGACUAGAGUACGGAAGAGGCGAGUGGAAUUCCUGGUGUAGCGGUGGAAUGCGCAGAUAUCAGGAGGAACACCAAUAGCGAAGGCAGCGCGCUGGGACGUUACUGACACUGAGGCGCGAAAGCGUGGGGAGCGAACAGG
rnacentral:rRNA from 1 species